rnacentral:rRNA from 1 species
GACGAACGCUGGCGGCGUGCUUAACACAUGCAAGUCGAACGGAAAGGCCCUGCUUUUGUGGGGUGCUCGAGUGGCGAACGGGUGAGUAACACGUGAGUAACCUGCCCUUGACUUUGGGAUAACUUCAGGAAACUGGGGCUAAUACCGGAUAGGAGCUCCUGCUGCAUGGUGGGGGUUGGAAAGUUUCGGCGGUUGGGGAUGGACUCGCGGCUUAUCAGCUUGUUGGUGGGGUAGUGGCUUACCAAGGCUUUGACGGGUAGCCGGCCUGAGAGGGUGACCGGCCACAUGGGGACUGAGAGACGGCCCAGACGCGUACGGGAGGCAGCAGGGGGGAAUAUGGCAGAAUGGGGGGAAGCGAGAGGCAGCAACGCCGCGUGCGGGAUGACGGCCUUCGGGUGGUAAACCGAUGUCGCCUGUGACGAAGCGUGAGUGACGGUAAUGGGUAAAGAAGCACCGGCUAACUACGUG